UCAAUUUAGAACGUAUGUAAAAGUAGUCCUUCCCUGUAAAAUACAGCACCUUUGAUGUCAUUAUUUAAUUGAACUAAGAUACACAUUUGCAGAAAUGGGGGUUGGCCUAUUCCAUGGCUUCUAGAGAAAAAUAAUGAGGGGUGUCACGGGGUAUGACUAUAUAGGUCUUGUAGAGGAGAAACAGGCGCAUCUUUUGCGUAAGGUAUCGAAGGGCGCUAUGUUCAAAAAUCUGAAACUAGAGCUCAAAAUUUGAAAAAAAAAUUGUUAAAAACAGGGGGGUUGGCCUAUUCCAUGGCUUCUAGAGAAAAAUAAUGAGGGGUGUCACGGGGUAUGACUAUAUAGGUCUUGUAGAAGAGAAACAGGCGCAUCUUUUGCGCAAGGUAUCGAAGGGCGCUAUGUUCAAAAAUCUGAAACUAGAGCUCAAAAUUUGAAAAAAAAUUGUUAAAAACAGGGUGGUUAGCCUAUUCCAUGGCUUCUAGAGAAAAAUAAUCAGGGGUGUCACGGGGUAUGACUAUAUAGGUCUUGUAGAAGAGAAACAGGCGCAUCUUUUGCGCAAGGUAUCGAAGGGCGCUAUGUUCAAAAAUCUGAAACUAGAGCUCAAAAUUUGAAAAAAAAUUGUUAAAAACAGGGGGAUUGGCCUAUUCCAUGGCUUCUAAAGAAAAAUAAUGAGGGGUGUCACGGGGUAUGACUAUAUAGGUCUUGUAGAAGAGAAACAGGCGCAUAUUUUGCGCAAGGUAUCGAAGGGCGCUAUGUUCAAAAAUCUGAAACUAGAGCUCAAAAUUUGAAAAAAAAAUUAUUAAAAACAGGGGGGUUGGCCUAUUCCAUGGCUUCUAGAGAAAAAUAAUGAGGGGUGUCACGGGGUAUGACUAUAUAGGUCUUGUAGAGAAGAAACAGGCGCAUCUUUUGCGCAAGGUAUCGAAGGGCGCUAUGUUCAAAAAUCUUAAACUAGAGCUCAAAAUUUGAAAAAAAAAUUGUUAAAAACAGAGUGGUUGGCCUAUUCCAUGGCUUCUAGAGAAAAAUAAUGAGGGGUGUCACGGGGUAUGACUAUAUAGGUCUUGUAGAAGAGAAACAGGCGCAUCUUUUGCGCAAGGUAUCGAAGGGCGCUAUGUUCAAAAAUCUGAAACUAGAGCUCAAAAUUUGAAAAAAAAAUUGUUAAAAACAGGGGGGUUGGCCUAUUCCAUGGCUUCUAGAGAAAAAUAAUGAGGGGUGUCACGGGGUAUGACUAUAUAGGUCUUGUAGAGGAGAAACAGGCGCAUCUGUUGCGCAAGGUAUCGAGUGGCGCUAUGCUGCAUUUUUGUACAACCUAUACUUUUUGCACUGGGUAA